CGGCGACGGGUGAGUAACGCGUGGGUAACCUACCUGUACACACGGAUAACAUACCGAAAGGUAAUGCUAAUACGGGAUAAUAUAUUUGAGAGGCAUCUCUUGAAUAUCAAAGGUGAGCCAGUACAGGAUGGACCCGCGUCUGAUUAGCUAGUUGGUAAGGUAACGGCUUACCAAGGCGACGAUCAGUAGCCGACCUGAGAGGGUGAUCGGCCACAUUGGAACUGAGACACGGUCCAA
rnacentral:rRNA from 1 species